UUUUUUUUUUUUUUUUUUAAUAAAAUGUUUGUCUCUGGUGGUUUGAAAGACCCCCGUGGAUAUAGCGUGCGUAGCGUGGACCUUUGUAACCUGUUCGUAGUCUUAGCGGGGAGACCAUGUUAGGGCGUUCAAGACCUAGAGAUGGCAGGAUUUUGUGAAGGACAAAAUGGUGGCGGCAGUGCAAGGCCAUCCCCUGUGAUGAGGACCUUUUCACAGACCUGUACUGAUAUCUCUGUGAGGAUAAGUAACUCUGAGGAGGCUGGCUCUGGGCCUACAGUCUUGAGAUCCUGCAGAGAUUUCUUGGUGUAGGAAUAACCCGAAGCUGUUUCCUAUACAGGUUUGACGUGCUUGCUUACAUACAAAAGAAUGGCAGUUUACUGUCUGUACAGAAUAUGGUUAACCUCAAAGGCGUUUACACAUUGGAGCCAUGCCUGUUCAAUUUUACAAAUAGCACGUUUUGCUUGUAGUCAGGGUACUGUGACAACAUGAAGAGUUCCCGAAUUGCCUUCCAUCGUGAUUGCAGAUUUUCCUGGGGUGAUUUCUUUAUAAAGGAGGAGUUUGUUCCUGUAUACCACCAGUCUCCAGCAUCAAAAGGUUCUGUUAGCAGUGCCAUACUUGCUGAUUCAGAGAUGAUGCUGUCUGGUUAAGGACAAAGACAUGAUCAGGAAUAUAUUUGCGGGAGUUUAUAUUCACUCAAGUCGAGGCUAAGGUAAGGUCUGAAGGAAAGAACACUGUACAUGAAAGGAGCUGAAAACAUCAAAAAUCUGAGAAGAGCAGUGGGUGCUCCCUACCUCUGAGCCAUCUCUGCAGCCUGCAACGGUUAAUCUUUAUCAAGCGCUAUUGCUGAAGCAUGCUAAAAUGCUUCAUUUCCCCAUAAGAUCUUCAUUGCCUCUACACGUUGUAGGAGCUGACCAUUCCACUGUUUGUAGCUGUGAUUUGGUUCCUAGCAAUAAAUGUUUUAUGUUGUGUAA